rnacentral:rRNA from 1 species
CAAUAGCGUAUAUUUAAGUUGCUGCAGUAAAAAAGCUCGUAGUUGGGUUUCGGGUGGGAAUGGCCGGUCCGCCGUUUCGGUGUGCACUUGCUACGCCCACCUUGCUGCCGGGGACGUGCUCUUGAGUUCACGCUCGGGACACGGAGUCGGCGAGGUUACUUUGAGUAAAUUAGAGUGUUCAAAGCAGGCCUACGCUCUGAAUACAUUAGCAUGGAAUAACACGAUAGGACUCUGGCCUAUCUUGUUGGUCUGUAGGACCGGAGUAAUGAUUAAGAGGGACAGUCGGGGGCAUUCGUAUUUCAUUGUCAGAGGUGAAAUUCUUGGAUUUAUGAAAGACGAACUACUGCGAAAGCAUUUGCCAAGGAUGUUUUCAUUAA